CCUGCCUCAGCCUCCGGGACACUGGGAUUACAGACAUGCACCUCCGUGCUUCUCUGCCUCCUUGGAGAUGGAGGAUGCUUGUUCUGCCCUGCUGCCUACCGCCAGGAGUUGUGCCUAGAUGCACAGGGCCACCCUCUGUCCCCUGUCAGUCUGACUGGUCGCUGGGAUGAUUCCUGGGGCCUGGCAGGCGCACCCCAGGGCACAGGCCAGCGCUCAUGGUGACCCUUAGCUCAGAGCUUCUGCUCAGGAGUCAGGACUCUCCGUGGCGCAGCUGGACACGAAGCUGCUCUGCUUGUUCUGUAACCAGGCAGGAGACCAGCCCUCGCGGUACUCCGGGGUGUCCCUGUUCCACCAUCUGCUCCUGCCCUUCCAAGCCCAGCUCCCCGGAACCUCCUGCGCCCUUCCUUCUCCCCUCUCCUCACCCUGGGCUUCCUCUGCGCCUUCUGACAACACGGUUCGGUGAUUCAGUUUUCGCGGUCCUCUGUUCCCUUGCCCCUUCCAGGGUUCCAGGCCUGACCCUCUGUCUGGUGUCAAUUCUGAGCACGGGGGCUCUGCUGAGCUGUCCUGGAAUUCUUACCGUCUGCUCCACUCCAGAGACUUUCCGAGCCGGGCGCAUGGCGCACACCAGAGGCCCCAGCACGCAGAGAGGCCAGCAGGAGGGUGGAGAGCUGGAGGCCGGUCUCAGCAACUCAGGGAGCCCUUGUCUCCAAAUAGAAGAUUUCACUCUAGAAGGUGUAGCUGGGGGUAGAGAGCUUCCCGGCAGGACAAGGCCUGGGUACUGCCAGGUUUUUGUUCCCUGUUAUAUGAGUCCCCAAACUGAGAAAAGGAAUAGCUACUGGAAACUGAAGAUAUGAUUUUUUUUG